CCCUGACAACCAAAGAAUGGUUGACAUUUGCCAAGACAGGAGAAUGACAUG
rnacentral:sRNA from 12 species